rnacentral:pre_miRNA from 1 species
AGCGAGUUACCCUGUAGACCCGGGCUUUUGUAGACCCGAAAGAGUCAGAAGCUCGUUUCUACAGGUUUCUCGAUG